rnacentral:rRNA from 1 species
CACGUAGGGUGCGAGCGUUGUCCGGAAUUAUUGGGCGUAAAGAGCUCGUAGGCGGUGUGUCGCGUCGGCCGUGAAAACCUGUGGCUUAACUAUGGGCUUGCGGUCGAUACGGGCAUCACUGGAGUUCGGCAGGGGAGACUGGAAUUCCUGGUGUAGCGGUGAAAUGCGCAGAUAUCAGGAAGAACACCCGUGGCUAAGGCGGCUCUCUAGUACGGUACUGACGCUGAGACGCGAAAAGCGUGGGGAGCGAACAGG